UUAAGAAAAGUUCUGUAUUUCUUAGACAUAUAGUAUUUUUAUAUAACAAAUAAUUCAUUAAUCCCGCAUCUUUUCAGUUUUCUGCGGAGUUGUGCCUCAUUGUUUAAAAAAUCCCACAAAUUUAUUUUUUGGCCCCCAGCCGUAGUAUCUUCAAAAUACUGCCUUCCUCUAUCUUCUUCUUUUCGUGUUCUCUUCGCAUCUUCUCUCUUUGGUGAUUGUUCAUCUUCCUCAUCUGCUGCUUGUGCAUUGUCUACCGUUUGCAAACUCACCUAUCCAAGUCUGUUGAGAUUCAUGGCGAGGCAAGGAGCUUUCGAACUUCCAUCCGAGUUCCCAUAUACCUUGAUUGGGUUGAUUCCCAACUUUUACGGCUUAAGGAUUCUGGUCCUAAUGGUAAUGGCAGGUAUUCAGAUCACAUGUUACUUCAAGUCGAGAUAAAGAACUAUAGAAAGUGUGCACACUGCACAGGUAUAGCUUGCUAAGAUUAUGAUGGUGUUUGGGUGCGAAAUUUAAAGUUUACAAACUAAUCGGCAACUGCACCGGAUUGUACCAAGUAAUACUUCAAGUGAAUAAGAGUUGAUCCCACAAGGAUUGAUGGACCAAGCAACAAUAGGUAAAUGAUUCACUUAGUCGGACAAACAAAAAAUGAUGUUUUGAGAAUUUAGUUGCAUUAAACAGUAAAUUCAGACAAUUAGAAGGCAAACGGUAAACUUGGUGUGAAAACUAUGAGAGAGAACAGUUAAGGUUUUAGAGUUGUUUAUCUUCCGGAUCUCUAUUUCUUACCAACUAUUUUAAUUAUGCAAGAUUCAAUUCAU